rnacentral:ribozyme from 1 species
CUCUAUCGAAAAAAAUAAUCAAAUAUGAAGAACGCUAUUAUCGCUUUGUGCUUGAUCGCUACCGUGGUCAACGGUGCCAUCCAUGUGCCUAUCACUCAACAACGUAACCCCAACUUCAGCUGGAGAAACGCUGUCCGCAGUGCCGC